rnacentral:rRNA from 1 species
AGCUGGUUGGUGAGGUAAGAGCCCACCAAGGCGAUGAUGGGUAGCCGGCCUGAGAGGGUGUACGGCCACACUGGGACUGAGAUACGGCCCAGACUCCUACGGGAGGCAGCAGCUAAGAAUAUUCCGCAAUGGACGAAAGUCUGACGGAGCGACGCCGCGUGGAUGAAGAAGGCCGAAAGGUUGUAAAGUUCUUUUGUUGGGGAAGAAUAACCAUGGGAGGGAAUGCCCGUGGGAUGACAUGAACCGACGAAUAAGCCCCGGCUAACUACGUGCCAGCAGCCGCGGUAACACGUAGGGGGCGAGCGUUGUUCGGAAUUACUGGGCGUAAAGGGCAUGUAGGCGGUCUUGUAAGCUUGGCGUGAAAGACCACGGCUCAACCGUGGGAUUGCGUUGAGAACUGCGAGGCUUGAGUGACGGAGAGGGAGCUAGAAUUCCUGGUGUAGGGGUGGAAUCUGUAGAGAUCAGGAAGAAUACCAAUGGCGAAGGCAAGCUCCUGGCCGAUGACUGACGCUGAGGUGCGAAAGUGUGGGGAUCAAACAGGAUUAGAUACCCUGGUAGUCCACACUGUAAACGAUGUGCACUAGGUGCUGGUACGGAUGUAUCAGUGCCGUAGCUAACG